rnacentral:rRNA from 1 species
AACGAACGCUGGCGGCGUGGAUAAGACAUGCGAGUCGAACGAGAACUUUCGCUGUAGCAAUACAGUGGAAGUUCUAGUGGCGAACGGGUGCGUAACACGUGGGCAAUCUGCCUUAAAGUGGGGGAUAGCUCGGCGAAAGCCGGAUUAAUACCGCAUGUGAUUACCGGAGACAUCUUCGGAACAUCAAAGUCGGGGCAACCUGACGCUUUUUGAGGAGCCCGCGGCCUAUCAGCUUGUUGGUGAGGUAACGGCUCACCAAGGCGUUGACGGGUAGCUGGUCUGAGAGGACGACCAGUCACACUGGAACUGAGACACGGUCCAGACACCUACGGGUGGCAGCAGUCGAGAAUUUUUCUCAAUGGGGGAAACCCUGAAGGAGCGACGCCGCGUGGAGGAUGAAGGUCUUCGGGUUGUAAACUCCUGUCAUUUGGGAACAAUGCUUACGUAUUAACUGUACGUGAGUUGAUAGUACCAGAAGAGGAAGAGACGGCUAACUCUGUGCCAGCCGCCGCGGUAA